GCGCGUAGCGGGAUACAAAAAAGAGAGACGAGAUACCGACAUGCCACUGUCAUCGCGCGCGCGCGCGCUCGCCCUUACCGGUCGGGGCGUCAGUAGACGCAGGUGCGGCACAGGAUAAACAAGGCUAGAGUAAUACCAACAGCGCUUUGGAAUAACAAAUCGGACCGCAGCUAUAAUUUACAUUAUAUAUGCAUAAUGUAAGUUAUUUGUAUAAUUACGUAUUACAUAUUACGUAUAAACUGUGCCUGAUUGCUGAACAAUCAUCAAGUGUAAAUUAAAUUCAUAAUUUAUUGAUCAAGAAACAUAUUUGUUUAUGACGUGAUUAUAUCGUAUGCUUACUAAAAAGUUUUCAGAAUUUAUAUAUGACUGGAAACACAAAUACUAAGAAAAUCUACACCCCUUUUUUAAAUUUUGUAUUUAUUUAAAUUUUAAAGUAUUCUAACAUUUUUUCUAAAAUUUCUCAUCGUUUCAUUUAUAAAGAAUACUUUAAACUAUUUUAGACUUUAUAAAAUUUCAGAAAUUAUAGAAAUUUUAGGUGUUAUAGGAUAUUUCGAAAUUCAUAUAAAUAAAAAUUUCUAGAAAA
rnacentral:lncRNA from 13 species